rnacentral:rRNA from 1 species
GAUCAUAGCUCAGGAUGAACGCUAGCUACAGGCUUAACACAUGCAAGUCGAGGGGCAGCAUGAUCUUAGCUUGCUAAGAUGAUGGCGACCGGCGCACGGGUGAGUAACGCGUAUCCAACCUUCCCCUUAGUAGGGCAUAGCCCGUAGAAAUGCGGAUUAAUACCCUAUGUUGUAUAUUGAGGACAUCUGAUUUAUACCAAAGGUUUACCGCUAAGGGAUGGGGAUGCGUCUGAUUAGGUUGUUGGCGGGGUAACGGCCACCAAGCCUACGAUCAGUAGGGGUUCUGAGAGGAAGGUCCCCCACAUUGGAACUGAGACACGGUCCAAACUCCUACGGGAGGCAGCAGUGAGGAAUAUUGGUCAAUGGACGAGAGUCUGAACCAGCCAAGUAAGCGUGCAGGAUGACGGCCCUAUGGGUUGUAAACUGCUUUUAUACGGGGAUAAAGUGACCCACGUGUGGGUUUUUGUAGGUACCGUAUGAAUAAGGACCGGCUAAUUCCGUGCCAGCCGCAGC